rnacentral:rRNA from 1 species
GUGGGUGGGUACCGCCCGGUACCCGCUUAAGAUAUAGUCGGGCCUGACGGGGCAACCCGCCGGACGCGAAGCCGCCUCCCGGCUUCGGACCCAACCGUUCCGUAGGUGAACCUGCGGAAGGAUCAUUA